rnacentral:rRNA from 1 species
GACGAACGCUGGCGGCGUGCCUAAUACAUGCAAGUAGAACGCACAGUUUAUACCGUAGCUUGCUACACCAUAAACUGUGAGUUGCGAACGGGUGAGUAACGCGUAGGUAACCUGCCUGGUAGCGGGGGAUAACUAUUGGAAACGAUAGCUAAUACCGCAUAAUAUUGAUUAUUGCAUGAUAAUUGAUUGAAAGAUGCUAUUGCAUCACUACCAGAUGGACCCGCGUUGUAUUAGCUAGUAGGUGAGGUAACGGCUCACCUAGGCGACGAUACAUAGCCGACCUGAGAGGGUGAUCGGCCACACUGGGACUGAGACACGGCCCAGACUCCUACGGGAGGCAGCAGUAGGGAAUCUUCGGCAAUGGACGAAAGUCUGACCGAGCAACGCCGCGUGAGUGAAGAAGGUUUUCGGAUCGUAAAGCUCUGUUGUAAGAGAAGAACGGGUGUGAGAGUGGAAAGUUCACACUGUGACGGUAUCUUACCAGAAAGGGACGGCUAACUACGUG